rnacentral:misc_RNA from 1 species
CAGCGACUGGGGUGAAGUCGUAACAAGGUAGCCGUAGGGGAACCUGCGGCUGGAUCACCUCCUUUCUAAGGAUGGUUCUUCAGAAGCUUGCUUCUAUCGAACCGUUUUAGAAACAUCAGUGGCCAACGAUCGUCAGGAUUGUUGAGCUGCAUUGGCGGGAUUUCGCCGUCUUCGUUUCUCUUUCUUCGCGGACGAACACGCGCUGGGCCUGCGAGAGCAGGGUCCCUGGUCCUUGACGGGAAGCGUGAGGUCGGAAGUUCAAGUCUUCCCAGGCCCACCACACUCAUCGGGUAAGCAUUCGUCUUCUGGUUACGGGGCCAUAGCUCAGCUGGGAGAGCGCGUGCUUUGCAAGCAUGAGGUCGUCGGUUCGAUCCCGUCUGGCUCCACCAGAUGGUUUGAUCACCGAGGCUGUGUUUGCAGCUAUUCAACCGUCGUCCGCGAAACAUCACUUCGCACCUGCUAGUCUGGAUAGACAGUAAGGUGCGUGAUUUCUGACAUCGUAAAGAGGAGAUCGAUCCGAGUUGGAUCGGGCAGCAAGCAAUUGCUGCGCGAACCUUCAUUAUCUCCGGAUCAUUUCGGCGCUCGCGCGCCUUUCAAUGCGGCUCACAAGGCUGCGUCUGAGGGGAAUGCGGGUUGUAAAUGAUCCUUUUAGCGAAGCUUGACCGCCUCGCUAUCGGAACGAUCUUACGAAGCAAGCUGGUCUUUCUAAUCAUUGUCCGGCUGUACGUAGCGUUCAUCGAGGGCGCGUGCCGUAAGGCAAUCGUACAGACAACAUUCUGCCGAGUGUGUGGACAUUGAUAAUGAGAGCAAUCAAGUGCCUUAAGGGUGUUCGGUGGAUGCCUUGGCGCUGAGAGGCGAUGAAGGACGUGC